GACGAACGCUGGCGGCGUGCUUAACACAUGCAGGUCGAACGGACAGACCAUGAUUUUGUGGGGUGCUCGAUUGGCGCGGGGGUGAGUAAAACGUGAGUAUAACGCACUUGACUUUGGGGUAAAUUCAGGAGAAUGGGGAUCAUAUAGGAUAGGAGCUUCUGAUGCGUGGUGGGGGAUGGUGAGAGUCGGCGGUUGGGGCUGGUCUAGAGGUGUAUUAGCUUGUUGGUGAGGUAACGGAUUACACGGGCUAUGAAGGGUAGCCGACCUGAGAGGGGGAUCGGCCGCCCUGGAACUGAGACACGGUCCAGACUCCUACGGGAGGCAGCAGUCGGGAAUCUUCCGCAAUGGGCGAAAGCAUGACGCAGCAACGCCGCGUGAGUGAUGAAGGUCUUCGGAUCGUAAAAAUCUGUUAUUAGGGAAGAACAUAUGUGUAAGUAAAUGUGCACAUCUUGACGGUACCUAAUCAGAAAGCCCCGGCUAACUACGUG
rnacentral:rRNA from 1 species